rnacentral:SRP_RNA from 2 species
GCUGAGUUGGGUAGCGUCAACUUGUCACCCAAGUGGGAGCACUAAGGUUAUAGGACAUGACUAUGGCUUGUUGAGCUAGGUUGGUUUCUGCAAUAUGUUGGUUUGCCCGCUCCAAGUUGAGAGUUGGGCCACGGGAUUUGGGCGAAGGCCUUGGUCUCUUGGUUCCUAGAUUAAAGGGCACUGUGUGAGGCUGGUUUCACAUAGCAGCGAAUACCUCUGGCUCUUGAUAGUGGAGGGAUAACAAGCUGCUGCGGUUCUAGUCCAUUAAGCUUGGUGAGCCUAGCCUCUGAACCAUCACUUUU